GAUGAACGCUAGCGAUAGGCUUAACACAUGCAAGUCGAGGGACCGGCGCACGGGUGCGUAACGCGUAUGCAACUUGCCUCACAGAGGGGGACAACCCGUCGAAAGACGGACUACUACCUCGUACUGUGAGAUAGGCAUGCGUUCCAUUAGCAAGUUGGUGAGGUAACGGCUCACCAAGGCAACGACGGGUAGGGGAACUGAGGGCGUGAACCCCCACACUGGUACUGAGACCCGGACCAGAAUCCUAGGGGAGGGAGCAGUGAGGGAUAAUGUUCACUGGGCGAGGGCAUGACCCAGCCAAGUCGCGUGAAGGAUGACUGGCUAUGGAUUGUAAACUUCUUGUGUAGGGGAAUAUGUACCCUACGAAUAAGCAUCGGCUAACUCCGUGCCAGCAGCCGCGGUAAUAC
rnacentral:rRNA from 1 species